AUUGAACGCUGGCGGCAGGCCUAACACAUGCAAGUCGAGCGAGCGGCGGAAGGGAAACAAAAGUAUGGGGACUGCCCGAUAGAGGGGGAUAACUACUGGAAACGGUAGCUAAUACCGCAUAAUAUCGGAUAACCCAGACGGGAGUAGCUAUUAGGUGAGGGAAUGGCUCACCUAGGCGACGAUCCCUAGCUGGUCUGAGAGGAUGAGCAGCCACCCUGGGACUGAGACACGGCCCAGACGCCUACGGAGGCAUCAGUGUUGAAUAUUGCACAAUGGGCGCAUGCCUGAUGCAGCAAUGCCGCGUGUAUGAAGAAGGCCCUAGGGUUGUAAAGUUCUUUCAGUCGGGAGGCGUUACCGACAGAAGAAGCACCGGCUAACUCCGUGCCAGCAGCCGCGGUAAUAC
rnacentral:rRNA from 1 species